rnacentral:lncRNA from 1 species
AAAGAUAUAAGACCACGACUUAGGAAAAUUCGAUAAGAAGAAAUUGAAAAAGAUAUGUUAUCUUUGCGGUUAUGAAGGACAUACCACUCUGUAUUGUCCCGACUAUAAACCAGGUGCAUGUUUUAUUUGUGGAUUGGAUGGUCAUCGGGAGAAGGGUUUUCCAGAAUCAGGAAAAAGGUGUGGGAAAUAGGUAGAAUUAGUAUUUAAGUAUGUAUGUUUGGUAAUG